rnacentral:rRNA from 1 species
UACGAAGGGGGCUAGCGUUGUUCGGAAUUACUGGGCGUAAAGCGCACGUAGGCGGAUUUGUAAGUUAGGGGUGAAAUCCCGGGGCUCAACCUCGGAACUGCCUUUGAUACUGCAAGUCUCGAGUCCGGAAGAGGUGAGUGGAAUUCCUAGUGUAGAGGUGAAAUUCGUAGAUAUUAGGAAGAACACCAGUGGCGAAGGCGGCUCACUGGUCCGGUACUGACGCUGAGGUGCGAAAGCGUGGGGAGCGAACGGG